AUUGAACGCUGGCGGCAGGCCUAACACAUGCAAGUCGAGCGGAUGAAGGGAGCUUGCUCCUGGAUUCAGCGGCGGACGGGUGAGUAAUGCCUAGGAAUCUGCCUGGUAGUGGGGGAUAACGUCCGGAAACGGGCGCUAAUACUGCAUACGUCCUGAGGGAGAAAGUGGGGGAUCUUCGGACCUCACGCUAUCAGAGGAGCCUAGGUCGGAUUAGCUAGUUGGUGGGGUAAAGGCCUACCAAGGCGACGAUCCGUAACUGGUCUGAGAGGAUGAUCAGUCACACUGGAACUGAGACACGGUCCAGACUCCUACGGGAGGCAGCAGUGGGGAAUAUUGGACAAUGGGCGAAAGCCUGAUCCAGCCAUGCCGCGUGUGUGAAGAAGGUCUUCGGAUUGUAAAGCACUUUAAGUUGGGAGGAAGGGCAGUAAGUUAAUACCUUGCUGUUUUGACGUUACCAACAGAAUAAGCACCGGCUAACUUCGUG
rnacentral:rRNA from 1 species